CAGGCCUCGCCUGGUAUCACUAACCACCCUAGAGUUUGCUAUCAGGCCUUUUGUCAAUUCCAACGCAUCGAGUUAUUUCCACUCCAUCCUGUAAAGGCUCAAAGCUAUUUACCAGCCUGCUCUCAUAGAUCAAAUUUGGGUUACCAAAAAUAUCAACUGCCGCCAAUGCCUUAUCUCUUGUGUUUCCAUAGCGGUUGACGACGGUAGUGGAAAAUCCAUCAACAUCGUACCCUCUUGAUGGUGCUGAAUUGGCCGCCGUCGCUCUCUUUUCCUCAACGCUGCUCCGCACAUAUUUAAGGUUGAAAAGAGAGACAUCGCUAGUUCCAAUGACGACUUUGACAAAAUCGCCAAGCCCAGCCAGGUCCAACAGCAUUCUAGAAACUGCAACGAAAAUAGGGUUUCUUUCCAAACUAUAGUAUACCUCCCCUCCCGCGCGGCGAGCUGCAUCCCCAAAGAGGACGGUAGAAUACCCUACAUAGCCUCCUAGUUCAACCAUUACCUUCGGUUUAGCUGCAGCUAUCAAGUCGGUGACGAUGGAACCUUUAGCCGAGCCGACGUUCAUGAGGUAAUUUUUCUGUCUCGCAUAUUGAUCGAUUGCGGCUAUGACAUUUGGAGGAGACCCUCGAAGCUCUUCAAAAUUAGGCAGGUUGUAUAUAUAGCGCAGCAAUUCGAUUUCUCUUCCGUCAUCUCCCUGAACCCAGUGGAUGUUAGCGAAUGCAUUAUGUUUACUUUAGGGAGUACUGACAUGGACGGCCGGUUUUGGCAAAUAUGGACGGUCGACAGCUCUCAUUUCACGAGCCGGUUGCAAACCUUUCUAAAUACCGACAGGAUGAGAUCCUCUACCUUCAAAUAAUAUCGGCGUAUAGUUUUAUACCAUGACAGAGAGCAAAAUGGGCGGGACUCACCUGUUUAUGUAGCAAAUUGUCCCUUUCAACUACCCGAUAUCGGGAUUCUCCUCGGAAUAUGCAACGUAUGCAACAUCGUAAUGGCGCCAUCCGGGACC
rnacentral:sRNA from 1 species